rnacentral:ncRNA from 1 species
GAGAGCCGUAUGCGGUUAACGUCGCUUGUACGGUUCGAGAAGGGGCGAGUUACUUUGCUAAUCGCCUAUUUCAU